rnacentral:rRNA from 1 species
GAUCAAAUCAAGCGCGAAAAGGGCGAUUGGUGGAUGCCUUGGCAGUAAGAGGCGAUGAAGGACGUGAUACCCUGCGUUAAGCCAUGGGGAGCCGGGAAUAGGCUUUGAUCCAUGGAUGUCCGAAUGGGGGAACCCACCUGAAAUUCUGUUGUUGUUAUCUACUGGCUGUUUACAGUCAGUGGGUGAUCAUCAACGGGGUUAGACAGGUACUUAUCUCUGAAUAAAAUAGGGGAAUAAGAGCAAACCCGGGGAACUGAAACAUCUAAGUACCCGGAGGAAAGGAAAUCAAGAGAGACUCCGUUAGUAGUGGCGAGCGAACGCGGACCAGCCGAGCCUGGAAGAGUGACUGGAAUGGUCUGGAAAGGCCAGCAAUAUAGGGUGACAGCCCCGUACAGGAAGCUCCAUGGGACAUAUUAAGUAAGGCGGGACACGUGAAAUCCUGUCUGAAGAUCGGGGGACCACCCCCGAAGGCUAAGUACUCCUUACUGACCGAUAGCGAACCAGUACCGUGAGGGAAAGGUGAAAAGCACCCCGACGAGGGGAGUGAAACAGUACCUGAAACCGGUCGCCUACAAGCAGUCGGAGGGACCAUGAGUCCUGACGGCGUACCUUUUGUAUAAUGGGUCAACGACUUGGUCUUACUAGCAAGCUUAAGCCGAUAGGUGUAGGCGCAGCGAAAGCGAGUCUUAAAUGGGCGAAUGAGUUAGUGGGAUCAGACCCGAAACCAGGUGAUCUAGCCAUGAGCAGGAUGAAGGUAAGGUAACACUUACUGGAGGUCCGAACCAACACCCGUUGAAAAGGGUCUGGAUGACUUGUGGCUAGGGGUGAAAGGCCAAUCAAACCUGGAGAUAGCUGGUUCUCCGCGAAAGCUAUUUAGGUAGCGCCUCGGACGAAUACCUUGGGGGGUAGAGCACUACAUGGAUGAUGGGGGCCCACAGCCUUACUGAGUCUAAGUAAACUCCGAAUACCCAAGAGUACUAUCCGGGAGACACACGGCGGGUGCUAACGUCCGUCGUGAAGAGGGAAACAACCCUGACCUGCAGCUAAGGCCCCUAAUUCGUGGUUAAGUGGGAAAGCAUGUGGGACGGCCAAAACAACCAGGAGGUUGGCUUAGAAGCAGCCAUCCUUUAAAGAUAGCGUAACAGCUCACUGGUCUAGAUAAGCUGUCCUGC